rnacentral:rRNA from 1 species
GUGGGGAAUAUUGGACAAUGGGCGAAAGCCUGAUCCAGCCAUGCCGCGUGUGUGAAGAAGGUCUUCGGAUUGUAAAGCACUUUAAGUUGGGAGGAAGGGCAGUAAGUUAAUACCUUGCUGUUUUGACGUUACCAACAGAAUAAGCACCGGCUAACUUCGUGCCAGCAGCCGCGGUAAUACGAAGGGUGCAAGCGUUAAUCGGAAUUACUGGGCGUAAAGCGCGGGUAGGUGGUUCAGCAAGUUGGAGGUGAAAUCCCCGGGCUCAACCUGGGAACUGCCUCCAAAACUGCAUGGCUAGAGUACGGUAGAGGGUAGUGGAAUUUCCUGUGUAGCGGUGAAAUGCGUAGAUAUAGGAAGGAACACCAGUGGCGAAGGCGACUACCUGGACUGAUACUGACACUGAGGUGCGAAAGCGUGGGGAGCAAACAGGAUUAGAUACCCCGGUAGUCC